AUUUAGCUGACGAGUCCCAAAUAGGACGAAACGCUCGUCCCGGAC
rnacentral:hammerhead_ribozyme from 1 species